rnacentral:rRNA from 1 species
UACGAAGGGGGCUAGCGUUGCUCGGAAUCACUGGGCGUAAAGCGCACGUAGGCGGAUUGCUAAGUCAGGGGUGAAAUCCUGGAGCUCAACUCCAGAACUGCCCUUGAUACUGGCGGUCUCGAGUCCGGGAGAGGUGAGUGGAACUGCGAGUGUAGAGGUGAAAUUCGUAGAUAUUCGCAAGAACACCAGUGGCGAAGGCGGCUCACUGGCCCGGUACUGACGCUG